GUCGAAUUAUUGUGGAUUGAAUAUCCAAAUCAUCACAUUGUAAGGUUAUGUGAUGACUGAUAAAUCUUCGAGUUCAAAUGAACAUUUAUUAAAAUAUCUCUUAAACAACUAGUCAUGGAGAAAGAGAUAAAAGCUCAUGUCCAGAGUGUGCUGGGUGUCGUCGAACACUUCUGCACUGCACCAUGCUCGACAGUCUUGCAUCUACCUUAGCACAGCAUUGAACUGAAAGUCUUUAUGUAAUGUGCUCAGUAUUGUUAAAUUCUGGCCAAAAUUAGAAUAGGUUCGCAAAUGUUAUUAAAACUUCUCAUUAACAACUA